ensembl:lncRNA LINC02874 long intergenic non-protein coding RNA 2874
ACUCCCAUCACUUCCUGAAACAGCCAGAGCGAGAAGAUGAUGCAUGUGAGCCCUGCCCUUGGGAAGCUUCCAGGUUGGGAAAUGAGGAAUGAGCCUGACACCCAGGGCCCAGAGAGACCCAGGACAGAGGCAGGUCAGGAGGCAGACACGCGCUGCUGGGUAAUGACGACAGCACCAGUAAUCACGGCUACUCCUUGUUAAGUACUUACUAAGUGCAAGACUCCAAGCUAAGCAAUUAAUAGACCUUUUCUUGUUUAAUCCUUACCACAAUUCCAUAGGACAAUUAGGGGAUGAGAAUUAGCAGGACUUGUCACUAAUGGUGCAGAAGAAGUUAGGGGAGAGGAAUCAGGCAGGUUCCAGAGUGAAGGAGGGCCAGGAUAGGCCUUGAGAAAUGGGCAGGUUCUGAAAGGGGAGGGCAUGAGAAAAGUACAGAGAUGACAGCAAAGAGAGAGAGAGAGGAAGGGACAGGGGGUUGUCAAAAUUAGGGAGAGAAUGUGGAAUGGUGAAGAGAGCUGUGACUAGGAGUCAGGAGACCCGGCUGUAUCCCCUCAACUUCCUGUGUGAUAUUGGG